rnacentral:rRNA from 1 species
GACGGAGGAUGCAAGCGUUAUCCGGAAUUAUUGGGCGUAAAGCGUCCGCAGGUGGCCUAUCAAGUCUGCUGUCAAAGACCGGGGCUUAACCCCAGAAAGGCAGUGGAAACUGAAAGGCUAGAGGAUGGUAGGGGCAGAGGGAAUUCCCAGUGUAGCGGUGAAAUGCGUAGAGAUUGGGAAGAACACCGGUGGCGAAAGCGCUCUGCUGGGCCACAACUGACACUCAGGGACGAAAGCUAGGGGAGCGAAUGGG